GUGUCAGCCGCCGCGGUAAUACGGAGGGUGCAAGCGUUGUUCGGAAUCACUGGGCUUAAAGCGCGUGUAGGCGGAGUGUCAGGUGCCGUGUGAAAUCCCCGGGCUCAACCCGGGAACUGCGCGGCAAACCGGCACUCUUGAGGCAAGUAGAGGUGACUGGAACGACCGGUGGAGCGGUGAAAUGCGUAGAUAUCGGUUGGAACGCCAGAGGCGAAAGCGGGUCACUGGGCUUGUCCUGACGCUGAGACGCGAAAGCGUGGGGAGCAAACAGGAUUAGAUACCCUCGUAGUCC
rnacentral:rRNA from 1 species